rnacentral:misc_RNA from 1 species
UUUCCGUAGGUGAACCUGCGGAAGGAUCAUUACUGAGUGAGGGCCCCUCGGGGUCCAACCUCCCACCCGUGUUUAACGUACCUUGUUGCUUCGGCGGGCCCGCCUCACGGCCGCCGGGGGGCAUCUGCCCCCGGGCCCGCGCCCGCCGAAGCCACCUGUGAACGCUGUCUGAAGUAUGCAGUCUGAGACAAUUAUUAAAUUAAUUAAAACUUUCAACAACGGAUCUCUUGGUUCCG